AGAAUCAACGCUGGCGGCGUGCCUAACACAUGCAAGUCGCACGAGAAAGGGACUUCGGUCCUGAGUACAGUGGCGCACGGGUGAGUAACACGUGAAUCAUCUACCUCCGAGUGGGGAAUAACUGAGAGAAAUCUUAGCUAAUACCGCAUAACACUUACGAGUCAAAGCAGCAAUGCGCUUGGAGAGGAGUUCGCGGCAGAUUAGUUAGUUGGCGGGGUAAUGGCCCACCAAGACGAUGAUCUGUAUCCGGCCUGAGAGGGCGCACGGACACACUGGAACUGAAACACGGUCCAGACUCCUACGGGAGGCAGCAGUGGGGAAUUUUGCGCAAUGGGGGAAACCCUGACGCAGCAACGCCGCGUGGAGGAUGAAAUCCCUUGGGAUGUAAACUCCUUUCGAUAGGGAAGAUAAUGACGGUACCUAUAGAAGAAGCCCCGGCUAACUUCGUGCCAGCAGCCGC
rnacentral:rRNA from 1 species